CCAGGUUAUAACCAGGUAAUUUCUCAGGAUAUAACCAGGUUAUAACCAGGUAAUGUCUCUGGUUAUAAAAAGGUAAUAUCCUGGUUAUAACCUGGUUAUUACCAAGUAAUAUCUCAGGUUAUAACCAGGUAAGGUCUCAGGAUAUAACCAGGUGAUAACCAGGUUAUAACCAGGUUAUG